rnacentral:rRNA from 1 species
GACGAACGCUGGCGGCGUGCCUAAUACAUGCAAGUCGAGCGAACGGACGAGAAGCUUGCUUCUCUGAUGUUAGCGGCGGACGGGUGAGUAACACGUGGAUAACCUACCUAUAAGACUGGGAUAACUUCGGGAAACCGUAGCUAAUACCGGAUAAUAUUUUGAACCGCAUGGUUCAAAAGUGAAAGACGGUCUUGCUGUCACUUAUAGAUGGAUCCGCGCUGCAUUAGCUAGUUGGUAAGGUAACGGCUUACCAAGGCAACGAUGCAUAGCCGACCUGAGAGGGUGAUCGGCCACCCUGGAACUGAGACACGGUCCAGACUCCUACGGGAGGCAGCAGUAGGGAAUCUUCCGCAAUGGGCGAAAGCCUGACGGAGCAACGCCGCGUGAGUGAUGAAGGUCUUCGGAUCGUAAAACUCUGUUAUUAGGGAAGAACAUAUGUGUAAGUAACUGUGCACAUCUUGACGGUACCUAAUCAGAAAGCCACGGCUAACUACGUG